rnacentral:lncRNA from 1 species
AGAGAGGCUCCAGAGCGCCCUGCAGAUGGGUUGCUUUUCGCGUGCCCCUUGUGAUGGGAGGAUUAGGUCGCAGGCUCCACCCUACGUCAUCCUCCCAAGCUUCUCAAGCGUCUGGCGCUUGGGGUCACUGCCCUCAAGGAGGCACCUGGAGGGGGGGAUGGCGUCCACUCCGAUGGGGAAUGAGGGGGAGAAGAAGAGCAGCUGGCCAUCUCAAGCUGCACCCUCCUUGAGAGGAGGUCCGGCUUCGUUAUCUCGUUCUGAGGAAUACCUGUCCCAGAUCAGUGCAGAACUCAUGGAGGAGGCUUUGUGCACUGCUUGCUGCCACUUGAACCCUGUGCCCAUCAAAAAAAAGCAGUCACAAGACCAAGCGACUCAGAUAUCCAAACGCGCAUUCUUCACCAAGACCUGAGGCACAGACACCUGGUGAGUGAGGCUUCAAGGGAGAUGCUCUUUGUCCUGGGAGAGAGCCCUCUCCCCUCUCUUCCACCAUCUCCUGCUCGGACAGAAACCGUACCUGCAGCAAGGCAUACCUCCUGCCAACUCCUGGUGAAAAGAACAUGCCUCAAAACUACUCUUUUGCCACUCGUUAACCACUUCCGUUUGUGGGGACCUCCUGGUCAUGAGCAGCAUCAUCCCGAAGCCUUCAAAGUGUUCUGGAUUCAUCACAGGACCCUCCAGCCUCAGCCAGCAAGGAUACCACCAGGAAUGAAAGUGCUUUAAUAAAGAGACAGGGUGUGCAUU